ensembl:lncRNA SILC1 sciatic injury induced lincRNA upregulator of SOX11
AGUGUUUUGACGACUGCCUCACUAAAGGAAGCUAAAAGCUGUGCUGAUGCCUCCCAGACGAGCCUCGUUGGAAGCACAGAACCUUCACGGCUCGGAGCCGCUGACACCGUGACAAAGGGAGCCCUGCUCAGGAGAAAGAGCAAAUGAGAGGCAGUUGCACUUUUUCAGGUGUCAGGCUGGAGGAAGCCACUUGAAGAUGAAUCUACCUCUGCCUUAGGAUUGCCUGAUGGCCUGUGCCAUUCCAUGUUAUAUCUACUGAUUUGCUCCCUGUAUUCAAAGAUUUUUUUUUUUUACUUAAUUCUCUCUUACUGACCCUGAGAGUGACCAUAUUUUUAACCAAUUUGGUCUUCAGCCUCAAAACUUAGCUCUUUCCUUUUGUGGUCCCCGAAUCCUAUCACGUGUCAUGGUGGCUGUGAAGAUGUUUGCCAAGCCUGCUGAGAAGGCUCAUCUGUGGCAUCCAAAAGCAGAGAUUUCAACUCUGGACCCCUGUGACCUGCCUUUGUAAUUAUGGAUACCCAGCACUGUUUUGAAAUAUCAGUGGACAUCCAGUUUUUAAAAGCCCUCAGAGCUUUGGGAGACACCCCUUUAUCUCUCUGGCAUGUCAGAGAACCGAUUCAACCCUUCUCAUCUCCUCCUCCUUCCCUCUCUUGGGCCAUCAGGAUGCGGCAGCAACUCACUGUGCAUGUUUUUACAGCUCUUCUCCAGUAAUGCUGCCAUUUCCACUGCAGACCACAGGAUAAAAGGACCGCUUCACCGUGGCCCAGGAUACCCUUUUAAGUAGGAGAGGGAGAAGAAAGUACUGCUUUGAUCUAAAAUUAAGCAAACGUUCUUCAAUAAACCCACCAUGAGACUUGACCACUAAUGGUGACCAGCAGUGGCUUUGUCAUGGCCCUGCCCACUGGGGGCAGGCACAUGCCGGGGCCAGGGCAGGCUGCCAGCUGGCUCAGUUGGAUCUCCAAGUGGCGGUACCGUUCUCUCCACUUCAAAAAUACACAGAAACAUGUGGAAAUGUUCUGUCAUCCAGAAUGAAAAGCAUGUGCACCAAAUUUUCACAGACCUGAUUCGAAUGUAGAUAAAAGUGCAAAAUCCAGAGGAGGGAACACGCUAUAGAAAUCCUGUCUUCUAUACUAUAAUUUAAUCAUCGUGUGCCACAGAAUGUCUUUGCAUAAAUUACAACCACAAUAAUAGCAUCACUUUCACAAAAGGUGGCCUCUAAUCGAUUUGACUCUCCAAGAGAUGGCUGGGUUUUUCAAAGCAGAGAAAUGAUGACCUGCAGUCUUAAAGAGCUGUUGAUUGCACCUGGGGCUCCCGUGGCCGGCGCCCAUCGAGCAGCCCAUCCUGGCUGUUCCCUUGUUCAGCUGAUUUUCUUUUUUAUCUUGACAUUUGCUAACCGCUUGGUUUUUAUUUUCCGGGAAGAGAGGAUUAUUGGCAACUGGCACCACCCCCAUGUCUGGAGGAGGGACGUUUCUAGGAUGACCCCCAGAGUGGAGAAAUAGCCGAGCUCAUGAGGCAACCCACACAGGCAGGCUGGAGAGGAGUGGCAAGAAGCUCACCUUCGGACAGUAGUGAGCAGAGCAACAGAGGCCCCCAGAGACUUCGCACAACGGAAAAGAGAUCAACUCCCGCAUUUGCAGGGGACGUGAAAGUGCAAUACUGUGAGGAACAAAAGGAAGCCUCAUCUCUGGAAGCCGGGAGGAAAAACAGUCGGUGUAGACAGCAGCGGCAGGGACCAGAGCUGACCAGAAGGCUGGGUCCCAGCAACAAUUAGAGACAGGCAGCAGCUGAGGCCCCUUCUCUGAGAACCAUUUCAAUUGCACAGUGGCCACAGAAGGCUCCAUUGGCCCGGCAGCCAGCUCUGCAGAGCCAUUUGUCCACAAGGAAAAUAAUAGCCCCGGCCUCAUUGCUUUGGGCUGCAGGGAGGACAAUGACCCACCAUGAAAAGAGUUAAAAAGAUUCUGGGGAAGGGGAAAGGCAGGCCCACACGGUGGCAAUUCAAGAUCUUUUGGAUGCCGUGAGCGUGUUCUUUAAUUAAGCCCCUCUUCUUCAGCUCAUCCUGCAGAAACGCACCUGCUUCCCAUCUGCCAUCCAAAACGGCAAGCACAAGAAUGACUUCACACUGUCACUUUCAGAGUUCCGCUGUGGCCCACAGUGAUUUUUCAAGAAAGGCAGCCACAGACUCGCUCGCGCUUUCUCUUUCUCCUUUCCUCUGAAAGACUCUAUAAAAACCACAUUAAAAAGUGUGUGAGCCAAGCAAUUUCAUUUAUCAAAGGAAGAAGGUCAUCCAUAGCAUUCAUUCUAAGAAUAUCAGGCACACGGCCAGCCCUGGACACAAGGCAUGAAGACCAGAGGGCCCUUUAUUGACCUAAUCUCUAUUUUGUCGCCAAACUGCAUCUGUGUCUGAAAGCUGGGACACACAAUAUUUCCCUCUACCAAAAUAAUUUUAUUUUCUGCAGCAGCAUGUAACAAACAAUUAAUGGUGGUAACAUGGGCUUCUGUCAUUUUCUGAACAACCCA